GGCGCAGGCGGGAAACUAAGCGGAUCUUAAAAGUGCGGGGCUCAACCCCGUGAUGGGGUCCGAACUGGUUUUCUUGAGUGCAGGAGAGGAAAGCGGAAUUCCCAGUGUAGCGGUGAAAUGCGUAGAUAUUGGGAAGAACACCAGUGGCGAAGGCGGCUUUCUGGACUGUAACUGACGCUGAGGCUCGAAAGCUAGGGUAGCGAACG
rnacentral:rRNA from 1 species